UUGUAUCAGCUUCUCUUGUGCCGUGGUGUAAAAGCAAAGAGUUUUCUUGUUACGUCCGGUCACUUUGUUUUUGUAAUAACGAAGAACAGGGGCUAUUGGUUACAUCCCAGGAAAAAUGUGCUCCGUCUGGUACAGCCUUCAUAAAACUUGAAAAUCAGAGAUUUUGAUAUCCAUUUAGAGAUGACAGCAUUUUUACAAUAAACCGUAUAUAAAACUACUGCCGUACCUUAAUCAUCAGUACACGAGCAACUACGAGAGAUAAAAGACUUAGUAAUUUCAUAAUGGUAGCGCUUCUCGCUUUGUUUUCCCUCUUUGCUUUGGCGCAUUCUGCUGUGGUCCCGAUAGAUUCUUCAUCAGUAAAUGUAAAACAGUCGGGCCAGGAGUACUCUUACACAAUCCACGAAAAUCAUGGUGUUGCCAUAGAGCCGCUGCCUCACCACCAAAUUCCAGUGAUUAAGAUCGCGCCGGAUAGCAUAAAACAUGAGCAUUUACCCAUCAAGGAACAAGAAAUAAAACCACUGCAGCCUAUAAAACCAGGGCAAAUUGCGGGGGUGGCUUAUUCGACACCUGUGGCGGUUGUUCCAGCGUAUACCUACUUACCUGCCCAUCAGUACGCCAUUCCGUACGCGUAUGGGGUUAAUUAUCCUUAUAAUUUAAUUGCAACAUUUUAAACUGAAGAUAUGUUUAGAUAAUUCAAUUUUCUGUCUGACUUCGGUGAGGUUUAAGGGGGUUUAGGAUGUAGCGCCAAAUAGUUGUGGUAAAUUGGUGAAAAAUAAAAAUGUAUGAAGUU